rnacentral:rRNA from 1 species
UACGGAGGGUGCAAGCGUUAAUCGGAAUUACUGGGCGUAAAGCGUGCGUAGGUGGUUCGUUAAGUCCGUUGUGAAAGCCCCGAGCUCAACUUGGGAAUUGCAGUGGAUACUGGCGAGCUGGAGUGCGGUAGAGGUAGGUGGAAUUCCCGGUGUAGCGGUGAAAUGCGUAGAGAUCGGGAGGAACACCAGUGGCGAAGGCGGCCUUCUGGACCAGCACUGACACUCAAGCACGAAAGCGUGGGGAGCAAACAGG